AUUGAACGCUGGCUGCAGGCCUAACACAUGCAAGUCGAACGAGUGGCGGACGGUUGAGUAAUGUCUGGGAAACUGCCCGAUGGAGGCGGAUAACUCCUGGCAACGUUAGCUAAUACCGCAUCCCAUCGGCUGUGCCCAGAUGGGAUUAGCUUGUAGGUGAGGUAACGGCUCACAUAGGCGACGAUCCCUAGCUGGUCUGAGAGGAUGAUCAGCCACACUGGAACUGAGACACGGUCCAGACUCCUACGGGAGGCAGCAGUGGGGAAUAAUGCACAGUGGGCGCAAGCCUGAUGCAGCCAUGCCGCGUGUAUGAAGAAGGCCUUCGGGUUGUAAAGUACUUUCAGCGGAGAGGAGUUAACCGCAGAAGAAGCACCGGCUAACUCCGUGCCAGAAGCCGCGGUAAUUC
rnacentral:rRNA from 1 species